UACGAAGGGGGCUAGCGUUGCUCGGAAUCACUGGGCGUAAAGGGUGCGUAGGCGGGUCUUUUAAGUCAGGGGUGAAAUCCUGGAGCUCAACUCCAGAACUGCCUUUGAUACUGAGGAUCUUGAGUUCGGGAGAGGUGAGUGGAACUGCGAGUGUAGAGGUGAAAUUCGUAGAUAUUCGCAAGAACACCAGUGGCGAAGGCGGCUCACUGGCCCGAUACUGACGCUGAGGAGCGAAAGCGUGGGGAGCAAACAGGG
rnacentral:rRNA from 1 species